AAAUAAUCUGAGAGACAAAACAAUAGAGAGGGAGUGUGAGGACCAUUCUUGUACAACUAACUUAUUUGUUGUUUUGUAGGUAACUUCUUGGCCAUAAUGGAAACCAUUUUGGCCCUCCUUGAUGCUUUGUCCCGAGACCUUGCUAGGGCAAAUGCGGAUCUUGAAAAAAUUGACUCGAAUAUGGUAACUAUGAGUGAGAGGUUGGACCUAAUGGAGAGUCGAAGGAACUCUCGUGCUUUUACUCCC
rnacentral:lncRNA from 1 species